GUAAGCUACUAAGAGCAAAUGGUGGAUGCCUUGGCUAGUAGAGGCGAUGAAAGACGUGCUAGGCUGCGAUAAGUCUCGGGGAGCCGUCAAGGGGCUUUGAUCCGGGAAUUUCUGAAUGGGGCAACCCAGUAUAUAGUGAUAUAUACUACCGCAAUGCGGAGCGAACGUUGGGAAUUGAAACAUCUUAGUACCAACAGGAAAAGAAAUCAAACGAGAUUACGCUAGUAGCGGCGAGCGAAAGCGUAAGAGGGCAAACCACUAGCUUGCUAGUGGGGUUGUAGGACUGCAAUAUAGACUUAAACAAUCUAAUAGAAUAAGCUGGAAAGCUUAAGCAUAGAGGGUGAUACUCCCGUAUAUGAAAGUGCGUUUAUACUUAGCAGUAUCCUGAGUAGGGCGGGACACGUGUAAUCCUGUCUGAAGCUGGGUAGACCACUAUCCAACCCUAAAUACUACUACUAGACCGAUAGUGCACAAGUACCGUGAGGGAAAGGUGAAAAGAACUGAGGUGAUCAGAGUGAAAUAGAACCUGAAACCAUUUGCUUACAAUCAUUCAGAGCCCUAUGAUUUAUCAGGGUGAUGGACUGCCUUUUGCAUAAUGAGCCUGCGAGUUGUGGUGUCUGGCAAGGUUAAGGAAACCCGGAGCCGUAGCGAAAGCGAGUCUUAAUAGGGCGUAUAGUCAGAUGCUGCAGACCCGAAACGAUGUGAUCUAUCCAUGAGCAGGUUGAAACUGGUGUAAGAGCCAGCGGAGGACCGAACAGACGGCCGUUGAAAAGGCUCCUGAUGACUUGUGGAUAGGGGUGAAAGGCCAAUCAAACAUCGUGAUAGCUGGUUCUCUCCGAAAUAUAUUUAGGUAUAGCGUUGUGUAGUAACUUUGUGAGGUAGAGCACUGAAUGGGCUAGGGCAUACACCAAUGUACCAAACCCUAUCAAACUCCGAAUGCGCAAAGUGUAAUCACAGCAGUCAGGCGGCGAGUGAUAAAAUCCGUCGUCAAGAGGGGAACAACCCAGACUAACAGCUAAGGUCCCUAAAUCUCAUUUAAGUGGAAAACGAUGUGAAGUUACUUUAACAACCAGGAGGUUGGCUUAGAAGCAGCCAUCCUUUAAAGAAAGCGUAAUAGCUCACUGGUCUAGUGAUUUCGCGCGGAAAAUAUAACGGGGCUAAAAUGAGUACCGAAGCUUUAGAUAGUGUCUAUGAUUAUUUAUACUAGCUUGUCUUUUACUGAUAAAUUAAUGAGUUUUAAAUUUUCUCAAUCGACAGCCUAUAUGGCUAGUCUUAAUCUAAAAUUUCUACACAACAUUAAUUUAUCAUCAAAAAUACUUCUCUUAAUCUAUUUAAAUUUAUAAAUUAAGCAGUAUUAGAUUUAAGACAACAAAAGAGUAUGAAUACUCAUAGGCACUGUGGUAGGAGAGCGUUCUAUUCAGCGUUGAAGGUAUACCGGUAAGGAGUGCUGGAGCGGAUAGAAGUGAGCAUGCAGGCAUGAGUAGCGAUAAAAGGGGUGAGAAUCCCCUUCGCCGUAAACCCAAGGUUUCCUACGCGAUGCUCGUCAUCGUAGGGUUAGUCGGGUCCUAAGCAAAGUCCAAAAGGGGUAUGCGAUGGAAAAUCGGUUAAUAUUCCGAUACCAAUAUUAGUGUGCGAUGGAAGGACGCUUAAAGUUAGUGGAGCUAGCGGAUGGAAGUGCUAGUCUAAGGAUGUAGAUUAAGUGGUAGGCAAAUCCGCCACUUUUUAUUCGAGAUCUUAAAGGCUCUCCAAAGUCUUCGGAUAGCGGGGAGAAUCCAUGAUACUAUCGAGCCAAGAAAAGUUUCUAAGUUUAGCUAAUAUUGCCCGUACCGUAAACCGACACAGGUGGGUGGGAUGAGUAUUCUAAGGCGCGUGGAAGAACUCUCUUUAAGGAACUCUGCAAAAUAGCACCGUAUCUUCGGUAUAAGGUGUGCCUAACUUUGUAUUAAGAUUUACUCCCAAAGCAAAGAAGGUUACAACAAAGAGUCCCUCCCGACUGUUUACCAUAAACACAGCACUCUGCUAACUCGUAAGAGGAUGUAUAGGGUGUGACGCCUGCCCGGUGCUCGAAGGUUAAUUGAUGGGGUUAGCAUUAGCGAAGCUCUUGAUCGAAGCCCGAGUAAACGGCGGCCGUAACUAUAACGGUCCUAAGGUAGCGAAAUUCCUUGUCGGUUAAAUACCGACCUGCAUGAAUGGCGUAACGAGAUGGGAGCUGUCUCAAAGAGGGAUCCAGUGAAAUUGUAGUGGAGGUGAAAAUUCCUCCUACCCGCGGCAAGACGGAAAGACCCCGUGGACCUUUACUACAGCUUGACACUGCUAUUUGGAUAAAGAUGCGCAGGAUAGGUGGGAGGCUUUGAUCCAUAGAUUCCGGUUUAUGGUGAGCCAUUGUUGAGAUACCACUCUUCUUUAUUUGAGUAGCUAACUAGCUUGAGUUAUCCUCAAGUAGGACAAUGUCUGGUGGGUAGUUUGACUGGGGCGGUCGCCUCCCAAAAUGUAACGGAGGCUUACAAAGGUUGGCUCAGAACGGUUGGAAAUCGUUCGUAGAGUAUAAAGGCAUAAGCCAGCUUAACUGCAAGACAUACACGUCAAGCAGAGACGAAAGUCGGUCUUAGUGAUCCGGUGGUUCUGUGUGGAAGGGCCAUCGCUCAAAGGAUAAAAGGUACCCCGGGGAUAACAGGCUGAUCUCCCCCAAGAGCUCACAUCGACGGGGAGGUUUGGCACCUCGAUGUCGGCUCAUCGCAUCCUGGGGCUGGAGCAGGUCCCAAGGGUAUGGCUGUUCGCCAUUUAAAGCGGUACGCGAGCUGGGUUCAGAACGUCGUGAGACAGUUCGGUCCCUAUCUGCCGUGGGCGUAAGAAGAUUGAGGAGAGUUGACCCUAGUACGAGAGGACCGGGUUGAACCAGCCACUGGUGUAUCAGUUGUUCUGCCAAGAGCAUCGCUGAGUAGCUAAGCUGGGAUGUGAUAAGAGCUGAAAGCAUCUAAGCUCGAAGCCAACUCCAAGAUGAAUCUUCUUUUAAGAGCUCUAGUAGACUACUAGUUUGAUAGGCUGGGUGUGUAAGUGAUGAGAGUCAUUUAGCUGACCAGUACUAAUAGCUCGUUUGCUUAUCUUAAUAAGCAU
rnacentral:rRNA from 1 species